GACUUUAUUGAUUGCACAUUGUUGCUCGUUUAAAUUAAGGAGCUAGCCAAAUAACUAAAAUGGAUCGAUAACCUUCAUUAUAAGUUUGUCGUUGCAGGUGCGACAAAAAAAGUCCAAAUUAUCACGUCCACACCGUUGUAGCGAUAACAAUUGCGUCCGCAUGUAUCCAUGUAAGAGUGAAAUCGACGAGUUUUUGCGCUCCGACGACGACGUUGACCAUGGCAUUUUAAAACAUUUUUCUUUGGCGUUCGCGCGUCUAAUUGGAUUACGCAGAUUUGACAGUAUGUCGCACAGGUGCGAGUCCAUAAAUUUCCAGGAUAGGAAGAAUUGCAAUGAUCUCGACUGUACCUACUAUAGAUUAUGGUAAUUUUUUGUCUGGUAACGAUGACAGUGAUUAAUUAGAUAUCUAUGGAUUAAUCAGUUUGUUUGAAUUUCAAAACUACCGAUCACACAAAGACAUUAUUUUAGACAAUUCUACUGAACAAAUAGUAAUUGACCAGUAUAUACCGAAUUCAAGUUGUGCUUGAAAUAAGAUUGACAGGUUCCACAAUAGCUGUGGUGUCAUUGGCACAAGGGCCACUCUGUCACCGACCACACUAUACGCAGAUUUUAUUAACAAUAAGUGGAUCGAGAUUCGAUUUCGUGC